rfam:Myotis lucifugus cont2.19034, whole genome shotgun sequence.
GCCCUUUUGGCUCAGUGGAUAGAGCGUUGGCCUGCAGAACAAAGGGUUCUGGGUUCAAUUCCGGUCAAGGGCA